AAGUCGUAACAAGGUUUCCGUAGGUGAACCUGCGGAAGGAUCAUUAGUCAGAAAGUGCUGGGGAAAGACCCAAUGUACUUUUACCCUUGUUUUUUUUACGCACCCAAAGUUUCCUCGGCGGCUUCGUCCGCCGGUUGGACAACAAUCAAACCCCUUGUAGUUGCAGUCAGCGUCGAAUAAACUUAAUAAUUAGAA
rnacentral:misc_RNA from 1 species